rnacentral:rRNA from 1 species
GACGAACGCUGGCGGCGUGCUUAACACAUGCAAGUCGAACGGAAAGGCCCUGCUUUUGUGGGGUGCUCGAGUGGCGAACGGGUGAGUAGCACGUGAGUAACCUGCCAUUGACUUUGGGAUAACUUCAGGAAACUGGGGCUAAUACCGGAUAGGAGCUCCUGCUGCAUGGUGGGGGUUGGAAAGUUUCGGCGGUUGGGGAUGGACUCGCGGCUUAUCAGCUUGUUGGUGGGGUAGUGGCUUACCAAGGCUUUGACGGGUAGCCGGCCUGAGAGGGUGACCGGCCACAUUGGGACUGAGAUACGGCCCAGACUCCUACGGGAGGCAGCAGUGGGGAAUAUUGCACAAUGGGCGGAAGCCUGAUGCAGCAACGCCGCGUGCGGGAUGACGGCCUUCGGGUUGUAAACCGCUUUCGCCUGUGACGAAGCGUGAGUGACGGUAAUGGGUAAAGAAGCACCGGCUAACUACGUG